AUACGGAGGAUCCGAGCGUUAUCCGGAUUUAUUGGGUUUAAAGGGUGCGCAGGCGGCCAUUUAAGUCAGCGGUUAAAUCGUGGGGCUCAACCCCAUUCUGCCGUUGAUACUGGGUGGCUUGAUUGCGGUCGAGGUUGGCGGAAUUCGUUGUGUAGCGGUGAAAUGCAUAGACAUGACGAAGAACACCGAUUGCGUAGGCAGCUGACCAGACCGCAAAUGACGCUCAUGCACGAAAGUGCGGGGAUCGAACAGGAUUAGAUACCCUGGUAGUCCGCACAGUAAACGAUGAAUACUUGUUUUCGGCGAUAUAAUGUCGGAGGCAAAGCGAAAGCGAUAAGUAUUCCACCUGGGGAGUACGCCGGCAACGGUGAAACUUAAAGGAAUUGACGGGG
rnacentral:rRNA from 1 species